rnacentral:rRNA from 1 species
GAGGAAUAUUGGUCAAUGGGCGCGAGCCUGAACCAGCCAAGUAGCGUGCAGGAUGACGGCCCUAUGGGUUGUAAACUGCUUUUGUAUGGGGAUAAAGUCAAUCACGUGUGAUUGUUUGCAGGUACCAUACGAAUAAGGACCGGCUAAUUCCGUGCCAGCAGCCGCGGUAAUACGGAAGGUCCGGGCGUUAUCCGGAUUUAUUGGGUUUAAAGGGAGCGUAGGCCGGAGAUUAAGUGUGUUGUGAAAUGUAGACGCUCAACGUCUGACUUGCAGCGCAUACUGGUUUUCUUGAGUACGCACAACGUUGGCGGAAUUCGUCGUGUAGCGGUGAAAUGCUUAGAUAUGACGAAGAACUCCGAUUGCGAAGGCAGCUGACGGGAGCGCAACUGACGCUGAAGCUCGAAGGUGCGGGUAUCGAACAGGAUUAGAUACCCUGGUAGUCCGCACAGUAAACGAUGGAUGCCCGCUGUUGGUACCUGGUAUCAGCGGCUAAGCGAAAGCAUUAAGCAUCCCACCUGGGGAGUACGCCGGCAACGGUG